AUUGAACGCUGGCGGCAUGCCUUACACAUGCAAGUCGAGCGGCAGCGCGGGGGCAACCCUGGCGGCGAGCGGCGAACGGGUGAGUAAUGCAUCGGAACGUGUCCUUUUGUGGGGGAUAACCAGUCGAAAGACUGGCUAAUACCGCAUGAGCUCGAGAGAGGAAAGCAGGGGACCGCAAGGCCUUGCGCGAGAGGAGCGGCCGAUGCCCGAUUAGCAGUUGGUGAGGUAACGGCUCACCAAGGCGACGAUCGGUAGCUGGUUUGAGAGAACGACCAGCCACACUGGGACUGAGACACGGUCCAUACUCCUACGGAGGCAGCAGUGGGAAUUUUGUGCAAUGGGGGAAACCCUGACACAGCGACACCGCGUGAGCGAAGAAGCCC
rnacentral:rRNA from 1 species